UUUUUUUUUUCAAUUUUCCUUACUCUAUUUCAGGGACUGGUAUCAUCAUCUCUCAAAAUCAUGACAAGCACCAAUCUAAGAAACACUUCACACCCUUUUUCUCUUUGAACCUGUUCUUUUCUGGUACAUACCUUUCAUAAUUAGGUUCUGAUUUUUUAAAUCUAAGACUUACUACCAAAAAUAAAAAAUCAAAUAAUACAGAAAAGACCAGACAUGAUUACUCACACCUGUAAUCCCAGCACUUUGGCAGGCUAACGCUGGAAGAUUGCUUGAGCCCAGGAGUGCUGGAGACCAGCCUGGGAAACAUGGCAAAACCUUUCUCUACAAAAAAACACAAAAUUAGCCAGAUGUGAUAGCAAGUGCCUAUAGUCUCAGCUACUUGGGAGGCUGAGGUGGUAAGAUUUAUUGAGCCUGGGAGGCUGGGAGGUCGAGGCUGCAGUGAGCUAUGAUCAUACCACUGCACUCCAACCUACAUGACAGAGCAAGACCCUGUCUCAAAAAAAAAAACAAAACAAAACACACACACACACACACAUACACACACAAUACAGAAAAGCAUAAAUAAGAAAGUAAUGAAUUACCCAAACUGCCAUCAUCCUAAAACAUUUAACAUUUAUUGGACACUUUUUGGCAUAUAAUUUAGCAAGAAAAAUGUGAAUGUAUUAAAAACAUAGUUAGAAAUAAUUUCAUUAACCUGGAAACCUGGGAUUAUACCACAAAGUGGCUACUGGGAAGAGGGGAACUGACUGGAAAGGAGCACAAGGAAACUUUCAGGAGUACAGAAAAUGUGAUCUAUUAUGUCAAAUGGAACACCUAUGAUGCAUUUUAAUGUAUGUAAAUUAUACCUCAAUAUUUUAAAAUGGGGUUAUUUUAAUGCCAUUUAUUAUAUACUUUAUUUCAAAUUACUCCAUUUUAUUUUAGUUCCUAUAAAGACAGGAAAAUGAGAGCAAAAUGACAGUGAAGGAGUUACUAAUGUUCAGAUAAAUGUUAUUUCACAAGAAAUAUAAGUACCUACAAAAGGAUCAUUGAAAAAACUUUUUAAUAAAAAGUAGGGUAAAACAUUUUUUGUAUUUAUUUAUAUAAAUAUAUAUUUACAUAUAAAAUAAAAUUAAUAAAAUAAAAUAAUUGAACAAAAUAUAUUUACAUACAUACAUUAUAUAUAAUAUACAUAUUUAAUAUAUAUAUAAAAUGUUUUACCACAUAGUAACUUUAGAGUAAGUACUGGCACCAUACAAUGAAGAAUAAGAUUACCACUCGAUAAUUAUUCCUACACCUUUCAGAAAAACAUUUUAUUGUGCAAUCUUAACUUCCUCAGUUGCUCUUCUAGUUCAAUACUUACAUGGAUUCAAUGAUUAGCACCAGCCCACUGUCACAGUUCUUCUAUUCCAGUGUUAUUUUCAUUUACUUCUUGGUUAACUAUAAUUGACUCUUAAUACUUUGAUCAAGAAGGGCUUACAGAUGCUAAUUCCAAUAGUUAUUUUAUAUUUGAUAACAUCUGCCAGUCUCCUUAAUAUUUACAAGACAAUUUGUCUGGUUAUAAAAAAAAAAUUGUGAUGUGCUCCAGUCGUUAUGGUGAACUUAAGUGCAAUAGAAAACCUCACCCAAAGCAACAGAAAGUAGAAAUGCUGAAUAAAACAUAACAAAACAAUAAAAAUACAUAAGAAAUAUCAAAAGGAUGAGAGGAAGUUCCUCAGGUACCAGAAACAGGGCAGAACUCAGAGCCACUGUUGUAAAGUCUGAGUAACAAAUGUGGCCUCAAAGCAUGAAGAGGUACUUAAAGCAGGAGCUCCCUGAAUGAGACCAGCACAUUGUGUCCAGUUAAUUUUAUCCCAAUAGAGAAAGGAUAUUGUACUAAUACUACAAAUUUGCACUUCCUUCAGUAUCAUUUUUAUGUCUUUUAUUGAUUGGAUAAGCACUGCCAUUGAAUUAAUUAUUCUUAUCUUUUACCCAUUAAUCUAUGAUUUUUCUUACUAAUUCCUUGAAAUGGCAUAAAUAGCAAGCCUUUACCUUUUUUUGGAGCAGGGUUUUACUCUGUCUCCCAGGCUGGAAAUGGCACGAUCUCAGCUCACAACAACCUCCACCUCCUGGGCUCAAGGGAUCCUCCUGCCUCAGUCUCCUGAGUAGCUGGGACUACAGACGCACGCUACCACACUCAGCUAAUUUUUGUAUUUUUGGUCGAGAUGGGGUUUUGCCAUGUUACCCAGGCUGGUCUCAAACUCCUGAGCUCAAGUGAUUGUCUCAGCCUCCUGUGAGCCACCAUGCCCAGCCAAGCCUACCUCUUAUACACAAAGCAAGUCUGUUUCUGGCAUAUUUUAUCAUAAAACGUUUUAUCUUUAAACUUUAUAUAUUUAAGUCUAAUUUUAUUUUUAAAAAUUCAGUUCUUUAUUCGGAAGCUGUAAUUUUCAAAAUUGAAAAAAGUUAAUUUUCAGAAAUAUUAAAAUGUUCUAAGUCUUCACAGUUUCAGCAAUCUCCUACAUCAUCUAUUACUAAAAAAUUGAUGCAAUGGCCGGGCACAGUGGCUCCCACCUGUAAUCCCAGCACUUUGGGAGGCCCAGGCGGGUAGAUCACAUGAGGUCGGAAGUGUGAGACCAGCCUGACCAACACGGAGAAACCCCGUCUCUACUAAAAAUACAAAAUUAGCCGGGCGUGGUGGCACAUGCCUGUAAUCCCAGAUACUCAGGAGGCGGAGGCAGGAGAAUCACUUGAGCCCGGGAGGCAGAGGUUGCAGUGAGAUGAGAUUGCGCCAUUGCACUCCAGCCUGGGCAAUAAGAGUGAAACUCUGUCUCAAAAAAAAAAAAAAAAAAAAAAAAGAUACAAGUCUUAACACAGCCUGAACAAAUUUAAACAAUCACCUGGAGUCAAUCGUUUAAAAAUGAUUUAUGUUUAAAAAACAAUCAUUUUUUAAUUAUUUUUCCAAGUUUUCUUUCCUUCAUGGGUUAAUUUCAUACAGACCAAAGACCCCUUGGGCAGACAAAGCAGAUUUCUGACCAAAGAAUACUACCACAGAUGAAGACCAUUUCAUAACGACAAAGAAGUUAAGACAGGCUUAACAGUAUUAAAAGUCUAUGCAGAGUUUCAAAAUAAAUUAAGCAAGAAUUAAUAGAAUUUCAAGGAAAACCAGACUAAUUCACAAUUAGAUUGAAAGACUUCAAUAUAUCUUUCUCCAUAAAUGAUAGAAGUGGAUAGAAAAAUCACUAAGGAUAUAAAAGACUUGAAAACUCAAAUGACUUACUUGACCUGGCUGGUAUUUUAUAACUCUUCAGCCAACAAUGGCAGAACACACAUUUUUUAAAGAACACAUUGAACAUUUACCAAGACAUACCAUAUUCUGGGCCAUAAAACAAUCUUGAACCAAUUUUUAAAAAAUGCAAUUCAUAAAAAGUAUAUUCUUUGAUCAUAUGAGAAUUAAAAUAGGUAACAAUCACAGAAAGAUCUCUGGAAUAUCCCUAAAUAUAUGUAAACUAAAUAGCACAUUCAGGACCAAAAAGAAAUCAAGAGGGAAAUCAGAAAGUAUUUUGAACAGAAUCAAAAUGAAAACGUCAAAAUUUGUGGGAUGACACCAAAAAAAUGUAUGUAGAAAAAAACCACACAAAAUGCCAAUUUGAAAAAGAAAAAUCUCAAUUCAGUGACUUGGAGUUAAGAAACUAGAAAAAGAAGAACAAAUUAAACAAAAAGCAAGCAGAAAAAAGAAAAUAAUAAACACCAAACCAAAAAUCGAUGAAAUAACUUCCUUAAUAUAUUUUCUUAUCUUCCUUUUAUCUUUUAAUUCCUUAAAAGACACAAACUACCAAAGAAUAUAGAGGCCGGGUGCGGUGGCUCACACCUGUAAUCCCAGCACUUUGGGAGGCCGAGGCGGGUGGAUCAUUUGAGGUCAGGAGUUCAAGACCAGCCUGGUCAACAUAGUGAACAACCCUGUCUCUACCAAAAAUACAAAAAUAAGCUGGGUGGUAGUGGCGUGUGCCCGUAAUCCCAGGUACUCCAGAGGCUGAGGCAGGGGAAUCGCUUGAGCCAGGGAGGUGGAGGGUGCCGGUGAGCCAAGAUUCCGCCACUGUACUCCAGUCUGAGCAACAGAGUGAGACCUUGUCUCAAAAAAAAAAAAAA
rnacentral:lncRNA from 1 species